GGGGGUUAUUAAUUUUUUGAAAAAUAUACUAAAAUUUAUGAGUAAAAUUUUAGGAGUACCACAGCCCCUCACCCUUGCAUCUAGUUUCAGCCCUAUCUAUUAGAAUCAUAAUAAUAUGAUUUAAUAAUAUAGUCUUUAAUAAUUCUAAUAAUCAAUGAUAACUACAAUAAAUUACUCUAUCAUUAAAAUUACUUUGAUUUAGGAUACAAAACCGUAUUUAGGAUUAAUGCCUGUACAACAUUUCACGAAAAUUUCAACAAAAUUCUCUCAAUUAUUACAUAGAGAUUAACUUGUAUAUAUCUAUGCACACACGUACACAAAGUAAUAUAUGUUAAAGGAAUAUAAACAAGAUUAAAGUUCAUUUCAAAGAAAGAGGCUAAAGUUAUGUUUGUCAGCAUAAUACUAAAAUUCCUUUAAUUUUGAAAUGAGAUUGAUUUAUUCCUAAAGCUUAUUGAUAUAAGUUGAUUUUCCUAUUUUAGAUUUUAUAUAACCUAUUUUUUAUGAGUUGACAUUUCAAUUUAUAGAACAGGAGGUAUUUGCAUGGUUUGAUUUUCACAUUGGAGAUAUAUCUCAAACUGAACUAAAAUAUUAUAACCAGUGGUGAAAGCUAAGAAUUUUAGUUUGGAGGGGUCAAUCACAAUAUAAUUUUUUUUAAUUUGUUUCUAUUUAAAAGUUUUUCUAAGACAAUUUCAUGUAAUCUAUAAAUGAAAUUGAAAAAUCUAAAGAAUUUAUUUGUUACUGUAAUGUAGGUGGAUAUGAGGCUUAUUCAAAAUUAAAGAUUUUAUUUUUAAUGCAAGUUAUCAAGUGAUAAUUAAGAUAAUUAUUGUGAGAUUUUAU
rnacentral:misc_RNA from 1 species